AUAAGAGCUCAACCAUUUCCAUAUCUCUCACCUCAUCCCGUUAACUCAACUGGGCAUCUCCUGAAUCUGCUACAAAGAGCUGCUCAUCUUUUCUUCAAUUUCCUUCGAUCCCCUACCGAUCCAUAAGCCUUGCGCUGAUCCUGUUUUCCUUCCUUAAGCCUUGCGCCGAUCCUGUUAUCCCAAACUUCUGUUGUUGUCCUUGGGAAUGCAAGCUCAUUAAAAUCCCAGCUCGACUUUUGCACCAUCGAGUUUCUCAACAGGGAAGACCCGAUGACUAUCUUCCUCCAUCGUCAUCGCUCAGCUCAGUCCAUCUCUGCUUCUCAGUCCAGUGAGGUUAUCCUUCUAGAUACUAGAUACCACUGAGACCCUUUCUCCAGCAAUGGGACUAUCUUGGGGGCUUCACAAUGGACAUGGUUGGAAAAUGAGCUCAACAGUACACCUUCAACUAUCACUAUAAUUGGCUCUUCUAUUCAGGUUGUGGAUCGAAUUGGCAAGGAGCAUUGCAAAGUUAAUUAACUUGAUUAUUAGUUGCAAGAGGUACGGAAAUAUGUUCUCUUAACUCUUUUAUUAAUAUCAUACAAAUGUUAGAGGAGUUUGAAUAUCUUAAAUAUUUAUUCGUAGAGAAGUAGGUUCUGAGAUUAAAAUUGUGUUCUACGGUGAUAACGGAAGGUUGAAAACUUGUGUGUCUUAGAGAAGUAGGUUCUGGAAAAUUUGUUUGUGUGUUGCAAUGAUAUAAGGAAGAAAACUUAUUGUGUGUUGUUUGAAUUUUUUUACUUGGUAUUGAUAGAUUGUUAGGUAACCUUUAUAUGGACAAAUGAUGUCAGAUUUUAUCUAGAAUUAUGUAUUAUUUUCUUACAAAUAAAUUGUGUUUGCUUGAAUUUUUUUGAUUAUAUUGAUAGAUAUCUCGCCUGAGGUGUGAAUAAGGGUAGUUUUCACGUCCCCAACCUUAAGGUUUGAAUAAUAAAACAUUAUACAUAUGUGUUGUGAUUAACUUUUUUUUAUUUUUUUAUAUCUAUGCUUAUGAUAUGCAGAUGGAUAAAACUUGGAUCCAUCUUAACAGGUUAGCAAAUAAAAUUAUAAAGUUUAAGUUUAAGUUUAAGUUUUGGUAUUUUAGUAUUGAAUUAUCCUUCAAAAUUGUAGAGCUACGAAGGAAUAUGAAAGAAAAGCUAGGGAGUUUGUGAAGACUGCAGUAAUGAAUGCCAGAUUUCCGAGUAAGAUUCUUUGUCCAUGCAACAAAUGUCAGAAUCUAAGACAUCAAAUUUCGGAUGAAGUUGUAGAACACUUAGUUUUGUACGGCAUGGACAAAUCAUACAAAACAUGGUUUCAUCACGGGGAAGAUCUAGUUCAAAGUAGCACGACUAAGACAAUUUCUACAUAUAAUUUAUUUCGGGCUGCUGGAGUAUGUUCAAGUAAUGUUAAUGAAUUGGAUGAUGAUAACAAUGAUGAUGAUUUUGAUAGUCUAUUAGGAGAUGUUGAAUCUCUAUUGUAAGAAGGUUGUUUGAAAUACACCAAAAUUUCAUCCAUCGUUGAGUUAUACAAUCUAAAAACAAAGCAUGGAUUCUCAGAUGUUGGCUUUUGUGAGAUGUUGGAGAUGAUCAAAGCAAUGUUGCCAAAAGAUAAUCUCCUACUAGCAUCUAUGUAUGCAAUUAAUAAGUAUCUAAAGAUGUUUGAUCUGAACUAUAAGCAUAUACAUGCUUGUGUGAAUGAUUGUUUCUUGUUCACAAAAGAAAAUGCUAAUGCCCAAGUGUGUCCCACCUGUCAAUAUCCAAGAUGGAAGCAAAAUGAACACACAUAGGAGAGUCUACAAGGGCAGCCUGCAAAAUUGUUAAGAUAUUUUCCUAUUACACCAAGGUUUCAGAGGAUGUUCAGAAAUGAAGAGAAAAUUUCAUGCUUAAAUUGCCAUUCAACUAAUAAAAGAAUGGAUGGGAAAAUGAGCCACGCGAUAGAUUCAGAGGCUUGGGAUGCAGUUAAUGAGAGAUGGCCAGAUUUUUCACUUGAACCGUACAACAUUCGACUAGGACUUGCUGCUGAUGGGAUCAACCUUUACAAAAAUAUGAGUUCUACAUAUAGUUGUUGGCUAAUAAUGCUUGUUGUAUACAAUUUUCCACCUUCAAUGUGCAUGAAGAAUGAAUUCACAUUUCUUUCUAUGUUGAUUCCUGGACUAAAACAACCUGGGAAUGACAUAGAUGUUUAUUUGGAGCCCUUAAUAGAUGAGUUACUAGAAUUAUGGAAAGGUGUGUAUACAUAUGAUGCUUCUACAAAGAAGUUUUUUAAUUUAAAUGCCAUGCUGUUAUGGACCAUAAAUGAUUUUCCAGCGUAUGGAAACUUAGCUAGAUGUGCGACUAAAGGGAAGCAUGGUUGUCCCAUAUGUGGAGAGAACUCAAAUGUUGUUUGGUUGAAGCAUAGUAAGAAGAUGUCUUUUUGCAAUCAUAUUCGAUUUCUUCCACAACAUCACCCAUAUCGAAAGAAGAAAUAUACAACUGCUAGGGCAAGGGAAAGAGCACCACAAUGUCCAACUAUUUUAACAGGUGUUGAAGUAGCUGAGCAAGUAAGUGAAUUCACUAAUGAUUUUGGCAAGGGUAGAAAGAGGGGGUUGUGGUUUAGAGUUUGAUAAAGCAUGGAAGAAAAAGUCAAUUUUUUUAGCCUCCCUUAUUGGGAGAUAUUGGUUGUUCGUCACAACUUGGAUGUUAUGCAUGUUGAAAAAAAAUGUUUGUGAAAGCAUUCUUAACACAUUGUUUGAUUGCAAAGGAAAAUCUAAAGAUCAUUACAACUCGAGAUUAGAUUUGACAAAGAUGGGCAUUAUGACUCAUCUCCACCCAUAUGAAGAAGAAGGAAUUACUCAUCUUCCUGC